AUGGCAGCAGCAAUGCACCCGAGGCUCGUUGCCGUGGCGGCGCUGGUCGCGCUGAUGUGCGCCGUUGCUGUGGGCCAGGUACCUGCCGCCGGCGGUGCGCCAGUGUGCGACGGUGUUGAUCAGGACGUCGUGAAUGCGUGCUUCAAGAGCUUUGGAGAAGGUAUGAAAAAUGCCAUUGCAGACAGGCAUCUUUCGGGGGGCAAGGUCAUUAAGGUUGGAGUGGACUGCUGCAUAGCCUUUGGAGGCCACUCCUGCCUCUGCAAGAUGAAGAAGGUGUGGAAGGAUCAGGGCAAAAGUGACCAAGAUAAUGUGCAAUGCGUCAGGGAAAAGGCCUGCUAG
rnacentral:rRNA from 1 species